UGGGGAGUGACGGCGAGCGGCUAAGCCACCUGGUUCUGAGCCAGGAUUUCGUGGGUUCGAGUCCCACCUCCCCCGCCA
rnacentral:tRNA from 1 species